AUUGGUACUACAUGAACACCACGUAGAAACUGUGAUGUUCUUACAUUCACUGCUACUCUGAAAUAAGGGAUACAGCCAGGCAUUCUGCGCAUAGCAAAUACAAUAAUAAGAACAAGACGAGAAGAACUUUGAUGCAUGAAGGAUUUUGAUACAUAAUUGAGAGAUUUUUUUUGUGGGAUGAUGUCUUCCAGAGUAUUUAUGCAGUGUCUUACAUUUUUAAGCAAAUGUAUAAACAAUAAACAAUCUUCUUCAUCAGUGUCACUGUAUCCUAUUGUGUAAGUCCCUGGGGCACUAUAAAUAAAGGUUAUCUUGCAAUCAUCAACAACAAACAGAUGAAGAAGGAUUUCCCCACUGACAUUUAUGAAGUUUUCAGUAGUGUUUUGAUUUGAUUCAGCAUUUUUGAUAGUAAGUUAGUGUUUACUUGCUUGAGAUGUUCAAAGGCAAGCAAUUCUAUCAGGUUCACAAAUCCCACAACUCCCUGAAGGACUUCAGGAUCUUGCUGCGCUAUUUGGAAAUCACACUUCAAUCCACUGCUCUCCAGGGUACAUUUGAAACUUCACUUGUGUUGAAACUUGUGUCAGGGCUAUCUGUAGAUUCCUUCUUGCACUUGUUGGUGAAAGAGCUGAGUACUGAUUGCCUUCCGUGAGCACCUUUGGACUUCAGGGGGAGGAUAAUACAGGAGUGAUGGGAGAACUGUAUAUCCAGAUGCUGUGUCUAAUCACUGGGUCAAGCUGAUGAUGACUCAGAGCUGCUGAGUUCCCUCUGCCAGAAAAAGGUGCUGAAACCCUCAGG
rnacentral:lncRNA from 1 species